AGGGUGUGGAGUAUCGAGACACAACAAUGGCUGUCUGCGAAGGGCGCUGCUCAUCCUGCUUUAUUACAGUAACAGUAAGAACAGAGACAAUCUCAUUGCCUUGAGUCGUGAUGGGCAGAGAAAAUACCCUGGACAGCUUGGGGUCUUCAUACAUGGAGACAGAACUGAGAACAACUUCUACUGUGGUGAAUCUGGACAGACAUUGGAUGGGACGGACAGCGGCUGGGACCUGCGCUGUGUGGUUUAGGGUUAAAGUCUCUUCAGAAAGCACAACCCACCGAGCGCAGAGGCUCAGGCCUCACGCCCCAUGAGGAUUUAUGACCGCCAGGCUCCCCCUCCACGAGCCCUGCCCUGCAGACGCUUCCUGAUGGUCCAUCCUCAGGCCUCAUAAGUCUCUGCCGCUCACAGGGCCUCCCACUGACCCCAUGUCUUGACUCACAUUGCUCUCCAGGUGUUUGCCCAGCCUGGGCCCCGCCUCAGUCACUCUGAGUUGGAGGAAGAACCUCAGAGCCUCACAUUGGCACUCUCCCCUCUCCACACUCACUCUUUGUGGGAGAAGGUGCCACAGGCCUUGAGGACGUGAGGAGGAAUUUACCAGGAGGACAAAGGGAAAGUGUCAUUCCAGGAAGAGGAAACAGCGAGUACAAAGGCCUCAAGGAAGAAAAUCAAUGAUCGAGGGACAGUCAGAAACCUGCUGUGACCUGAGGAGACAGGGCCGGGCACAGCGGGGCGGAGUAUAGGGGAGGGCCGGGAAGGCCUUGAUGAGAAUUUUAUGGGAAAUCAUCAAAACACCUGUGGGCAAGAGUGUUCCUGAUUAGCUCUGUGUUUAUGUUCUUUGUUUCUCCUAUCACAGACAAAGCACUAGUGUCCUUGAGAAGUAAAGAGUUUGAAAUUGAUAAUACAGUUGAUGAGAAAAAUUAAUAAGUAAUUGACUUUUAAAAAUAACCGGUAAUUCCAGAGAAGAAUGAGCAAAAGAUACUCUUAGACAGUUCAUAGAAAAGCAAACACAAAUGUCUCUUAAACACAUAAAAGGUAUUUGAGCUCACUCAUAAUAAGAGAAAUGCAAAUUAGUUCUUACUGAGAUUCCAUUUUCACCUAUUGUAUUGGCAGAAAUCCCAGAAUUUGAUAAUUCAUUCUGUUGGCACCCAGGAUCCUUGCUGGUUUAAGUGUAAAUUUGCAAAAUUCCAUGGAGGGCAAUUUGGCUAUAUCCACCUAAAUUAUAAAUGCUUAUACCCUUCAACCUCUGAUUCUGGGAUUUUACUGUAGAAAUGUACUACAUACAUGUGAAAUAAUGUAUAUUCAGGGUAACUAACUACAGCAUUGUUGAAAUGGUACAUAUGGGAAGCAGCUAAGUGUCCAUCAAUAGGGUACCAUUAAAUUGAUGAUGUCUUGUGAGGGAACCAUUGACAAAAUUGUACUCCUUGGUCAGGCAUGAUAAUAACCACUUAUCUGAGUUGUCUCACAGCAGGAGGGCCCGAUGAUGAAUGCAGUGCUGCCACCAAAAACUAAUCUGGAGAACUUGGAGCGGCCAAAAGGAGGAAGGAGCAGACCAUACAUCCUGCCAACUUCCCAGAAACCCUCACGCUGGAAUCCAUCUUGGUUAAGCGAUGCGAGCGCCACCAGGAAGGACCCUGAGUCAGAAUGAUUGGCCAGAGACAACCCAGAAACUAACCCCAUCACCAUAAAACCCAAGACUGCAAGUCAAACGUCUGAGCAGUUUUCCUGGGUUCCUUUAUCCUGCUGCUUCCCACCUGGCCACUCCUUGCCAAUAGAGUCUUUUGCUUUUUCAGCACACAUAUCUCCUUGGACAAUUCAUUUCUGAGUGUUUGAUAAAAGCCCAUUCUUGGGGCCCUGGAAGGGGGUUUCCCCUUCCUGCAACCAUUGAACCAUGCAACUGUGAAAAAGAAUGACCUGUGCUCUCUACCCCAACAGAGAAGAAUUCCAAGACAUCCAAGACAGUUAUUAAAUGGUUAAGCAAAAGAUAGACCCGUGAAUAGGCUUUUCCCAAGUGGUACUGGUGGUAAAGAACA